ensembl:miRNA predicted gene, 47280
CGCAACUCGUUGCUGCACAGAGCCUCCGAAGAGGGCGCCAUCUGACAGGAGGGCCCGGGGACUCCCGCCCACCCUGCGGGGGUCUCCCCAGUGGGCCCACAUGAAGUCAGGAGCCUGUUAGGCUAGAAGGGGUGCAGGUAG